GAUGAACGCUGACGGCAUGCUUAACACAUGCAAGUCAACCGGACUUUGGGUUUUUUUCUUCGGUUUGGGUGGCGGACGGGUGAGUAACGCGUAAAGAACUUGCCUCCCAGUUAGGGACAACAUUUGGAAACGAAUGCUAAUACCUAAUAUUAUGAUUAUUGGGCAUCCUAUAAUUAUGAAAGCUAUAAGCGUUGUGAGAGAGCUUUGCGUCCCAUUAGCUAGUUGAAGAGGUAACGGCUCACCAAGGCGAUGAUGGGUAGCCGGCCUGAGAGGGUGAUCGGCCACACGGGGACUGGGGCGGGACCCGUAGUCCUGCGGGAGGCAGCAGUGGGAGAUAGUCGGAGAAGGGCCAAGAGUGUGAUGAAGCAAUUCGGUGUGUACGAUGAUGUUUUUCGGAAUGUAAAAUGCUUUCAGUUGGUAAGAAAGAAUUGACGGUACCAACAGAAGAAGCGACGGCUAACUACGUG
rnacentral:rRNA from 1 species